ACAUACGCGUAGUUUCGUCUUUGUGUAAAGUUAUGUUUAAUCAUAAGAUAAAGAUAUGGCUAGUUGCUUACCCAACAAUUAUUUUGAAUGAUAGUUGAUGCAGACUUUAAGUGUUUCUUGUUUGAAAUUUCGUAUAUUUUAUUAAAUUUAUAUGAUAAUGGAAGUUUCACGUUUAGAACCUUGUAUUCAAUUACAAUUAUCAAGAGAAGAAUUAGAAAAUGUUGUAGAUAAGGCUAAGGAUUGGGCCCUUAUGCAUGGUAUUAGUAUGAGAUCAAAAGUAUCCUUUAAUAAAAAUCAGGUACAAGUUUUACCAUUUACUUUAUUACCAUCAAGUUUUCCUAGGAAAAAUUUUGAGAAAGCUAAAGGUAUACAAGUAUUAUUGAAUGAACUGAUACAUAAGGUUGCACAUGAUAAUAAUUUUCUAACAAAAAGUUUAAAAAGUACAAUCGAUGCAGAUCCAUUUACAGCAAAAUUAUUCAACAUAUAUGAAACUAUAUAUAAGGAAGGAUUUAGUCAAACUUUAAGUCUUGGUUUACUUCGAUCAGAUUACAUGUUACAUGAGAAUCAGAUUAAACAAGUUGAAUUAAAUACUAUUGCAAGUAGUUUCGGAGGAAUAGUUACAGUUACUACUCAGUAUCAUAAAUAUAUCUUAUCAGAAGUUGGACAUGCGGAUAAAAUAAAAAAUAUCCCAGAAAAUAAUCCAAUCAAUGGACUCUGUAAGGGGCUAAUAUAUGCAUGGAAAUUAUAUGAUAAUGAAAAGGCUGUAAUAUUAUUUGUUGUUGAAACUAUUACUUAUAAUAUAUGUGAUCAGAGAUUUCAUGAAUUUGAAAUUUCUAAAAUUAAUCCUGAUAUUAAAAUAAUCAGAAGAAGUUUAAGAGAUUUAGUGUCUGAAGCAAAGUUGGGACCAAAUAAACAAUUAAUAGUUGGAGAUUUAGAAGUUUCUGUAGUUUAUUUUCGUUCUGGUUAUGAAGUUGAAGCUUACCCCACUGAACGAGAAUGGGAAAUUAGAUUAUUAAUCGAACGUUCAAAAGCAAUAAAAUGUCCAUCAAUACAAUAUCAUCUAGCUGGUACUAAAAAGGUACAACAAUCUUUAGCUUAUCCUAAUGUACUUAACGUACUUUUAAAAGAUGAUAAUACAAUAAAACAAAUCCAAGAGGUAUUUGCUGGACUUUAUUCUUUAGAAUUUAAUAACGAAGCAGAAGUAAUAAUUGAUAAUGCUAUGUCAGAUCCUAAAAAGUAUGUUUUAAAACCACAAAGAGAAGGAGGUGGAAACAAUGUUUAUAAUGAAGAUAUAAAGACUCAUUUAGAAUCCAUGAGAAAUUCAGAAGAAAGAACAGCUUGGAUAUUAAUGGAUCGUUUUUAUCCUCCUGUGCAAAAGAAUUAUAUUGUACGUGGCCAUAAUGAGCCAUUUGAAGAUAAUCAUUUGGAUUUCUCUGAUGUUGUAUCAGAACUUGGUGUUUAUGGUGUCAUUAUAGGAAAUAAUAAUGAUAUUAUAUAUAAUGAAGAGGUAGGACAUAUUCUGAGAACAAAACCAUCAAAUGAAAAUGAAGGAGGAAUAGCAGCUGGAAUUGGAGCUAUUGAUAGUCCUUAUUUAAUUAGUUAAUACAAAAGAUAUUCCUAUAGUUGCGAAUUACCGGAUAUAGUUCAAAAUAGAUUCUUUAGAUUCGUCAUCUGAUUGAUCGAAAUUGAGAAGUUUCACCAUUUGUUUUUUGCCCUUCUCUGGUAUAUUUUCAUUGUGAUUCUAAAUAUAAAAAAACAUAUAUGUUUUCUACAACUGAAUAUGAUGUGGUAAACCAGAAAUAUAAUUGAGCGAGGGUGUGAACUCAUUUCGUUGCUGGUAUGAUGGAUUUUGGAAAUGGAUACUGCAAGUAGGAUGAGAAGCUAAUAUUUCCGACUAAAAGUGAAUUAUCGAUUAAUUUACCUGAGAUUAUUUUUCUUUGAAAAGCGUGGUUUAAUUUUUUGGUAAUAAAAGUAGGCUGACGCAACUACGAUA